rnacentral:rRNA from 1 species
AGAUUGAACGCUGGCGGCAGGCCUAACACAUGCAAGUCGAGCGGUAGAGAGGUGCUUGCAUCUCUUGAGAGCGGCGGACGGGUGAGUAAUGCCUAGGAAUCUGCCUAGUGGUGGGGGAUAACGCUCGGAAACGGACGCUAAUACCGCAUACGUCCUACGGGAGAAAGCAGGGGACCUUCGGGCCUUGCGCUAUCAGAUGAGCCUAGGUCGGAUUAGCUAGUUGGUGGGUAAUGGCUCACCAAGGCGACGAUCCGUAACUGGUCUGAGAGGAUGAUCAGUCACACUGGAACUGAGACACGGUCCAGACCUCCUACGGGAGGCAGCAGGUGGGGAAUAGUUGGAACAAGUGGGGACGAAAG